rnacentral:rRNA from 1 species
GAUGAACGCUGGCGGCGUGCCUAAUACAUGCAAGUAGAACGCUGAAGGAGGAGCUUGCUCUUCUGGAUGAGUUGCGAACGGGUGAGUAACGCGUAGGUAACCUGCCUGGUAGCGGGGGAUAACUAUUGGAAACGAUAGCUAAUACCGCAUGACAACAGUUAUUGCAUGAUAACUGUUUAAAAGGGGCAACUGCUCCACUACCAGAUGGACCUGCGUUGUAUUAGCUAGUUGGUGAGGUAACGGCUCACCAAGGCGACGAUACAUAGCCGACCUGAGAGGGGGAUCGGCCACCAUGGGACCGGGGCACGGCCCAGACUCCUACGGGAGGGAGCAGUAGGGAAACCUCGGCAAUGGACGGAAGUCUGACCGAGCAACGCCGCGUGAGUGAAGAAGGUUUUCGGAUCGUAAAGCUCUGUUGUAAGGGAAGGAAGAGUGUGAGAGUGGAAAGUGCACACUGUGACGGUAUCUUACCAGAAAGCGACGGCUAACUACGUG